CCUACGGGUGGCAGCAGUGGGGAAUAUUGCACAAUGGGCGCAAGCCUGAUGCAGCCAUGCCGCGUGUGUGAAGAAGGCCUUCGGGUUGUAAAGCACUUUCAGCGGGGAGGAAGGCGUUAAGGUUAAUAACCUUGUCGAUUGACGUUACCCGCAGAAGAAGCACCGGCUAACUCCGUGCCAGCAGCCGCGGUAAUACGGAGGGUGCGAGCGUUAAUCGGAAUUACUGGGCGUAAAGCGCGCGCAGGCGGUCUGUCAAGUCGGAUGUGAAAUCCCCGGGCUCAACCUGGGAACUGCAUUCGAAACUGGCAGGCUAGAGUCUUGUAGAGGGGGGUAGAAUUCCAGGUGUAGCGGUGAAAUGCGUAGAGAUCUGGAGGAAUACCGGUGGCGAAGGCGGCCCCCUGGACAAAGACUGACGCUCAGGUGCGAAAGCGUGGGGAGCAAACAGGAUUAGAUACCCUAGUAGUC
rnacentral:rRNA from 1 species